GUGCCAGCCGCCUGCGGUGAAUUCCAGCUCCAAUAGCGUAUAUUAAAGUUGUUGUGGUUAAAAAGCUCGUAGUUGAACCUUGGGCCUGGCUGGCCGGUCCGCCUCACCGCGUGCACUGGUCCGGCCGGGCCUUUCCCUCUGUGGAACCCCAUACCCUUCACUGGGCGUGGCGGAGAAACAGGACAUUUACUUUGAAAAAAUUAGAGUGCUCCAGGCAGGCCUAUGCUCGAAUACAUUAGCAUGGAAUAAUAAAAUAGGACGCGCGGUUCUAUUUUGUUGGUUUAUAGGACCGCCGUAAUGAUUAAUAGGGACAGUCGGGGGCAUCAGUAUUCAACUGUCAGAGGUGAAAUUCUUGGAUCAGUUGAAGACUAACUACUGCGAAAGCAUUUGCCAAGGAUGUUUUCAUUAAUCAGGAACGAAAGUUAGGGGAUCGAAGACGAUCAGAUACCGUCGUAGUCUUAACCAUAAACUAUGCCGACUAGGGAUCGGACGGUGUUAUUCAUGACCCGUUCGGCACCUUACGAGAAAUCAAAGUGCUUGGGCUCCAGGGGGAGUAUGGUCGCAAGGCUGAAACUUAAAGAAAUUGACGGAAGGGCACCACCAGGGGUGGAGCCUGCGGCUUUAUUUGACUCAACACGGGGAAACUCACCAGGUCCAGACACAAUAGGGAUUGACAGAUUGAGAGCUCUUUCUUGAUUUUGUGGGUGGUGUGCAUGGCCGUUCUUAGUUGGUGGGGUGACUUGUCUGCUUUAAUUGCCGAUACC
rnacentral:rRNA from 1 species